rnacentral:tRNA from 4 species
AGGACUGUAGUUAAGUAUAACAUUUGGUUUGCAUCCAAAAAGUAUUGAGAUUCAAUCUGUCUUA